UACGAAGGGGGCUAGCGUUGCUCGGAAUCACUGGGCGUAAAGCGCACGUAGGCGGAUUGCUAAGUCAGGGGUGAAAUCCUGGAGCUCAACUCCAGAACUGCCCUUGAUACUGGCGGUCUCGAGUCCGGGAGAGGUGAGUGGAACUGCGAGUGUAGAGGUGAAAUUCGUAGAUAUUCGCAAGAACACCAGUGGCGAAGGCGGCUCACUGGCCCGGUACUGACGUUGAGGUGCGAAAGCGUGGGGAGCAAACAGG
rnacentral:rRNA from 1 species